CUGCAUCUCUUGGUGAGGAAUGAUGUGAGAAGGGUCAGGGUGGUACCUUUUGAGUAUGGAAACAUGAAAAACAUCAUGUAGACCCACAAACUCUCGAGGUAGAGUAAGACGGUAUGCCAGGAGUUCAACACAUUCUACGAUUUGAAAAGAUCCCACAUAAUGGGGAUUCAACUUUCCGUUCUUACCGAACUGCAUUUUUUCCUUGUAAGGAAAGAUCUUAAGGAAGACUUGGUCACCAACGACAACUCUGGGGAUAGCGUUUUUGACAACUCUGGGUAGUGGUUAAGUUCCUUCAAAUGACAGCAACUUUCUUGAUAG
rnacentral:lncRNA from 1 species